GAGACUCUGUGCGCGUGCAUAUCAAUAAGCGGAGGAAAAGAAACUAACAAGGAUUCCCUAGUAACGGCGAGUGAAGCGGGAAGAGCUCAAAUUUGAAAUCUUCGAGGUUUUACCAUGACGAAUUGUAGUUUAAAGAAGUGUUUUCUGUUGGAGUUUUGGUAAAAGUUCUUUGGAAUAGGACAUCAUAGAGGGUGAGAAUCCCGUAUUUGACCAUUAUUUUCAGCUGUGUGAUACACUUUCAAAGAGUCGGAUUGUUUGGGAAUGCAGUCCUAAAUGGGUGGUAAAUUUCAUCUAAAGCUAAAUAUUGGCGAGAGACCGAUAGCGAACAAGUACCGUGAGGGAAAGAUGAAAAGAACUUUGAAAAGAGAGUUAAACAGUACGUGAAAUUGUCAAAAGGGAAGCGUUUGACACCAGUGUUGUUUUCUCGAAAAUCAAUUAAAAAAGGCCGGAUUUUGUGUUGUAUUGACCUUAAAAGCUUUCUUCACUCUUUUCUUGUCUUUUUUAAUGCACUUUUCGUUUAACAAGUCAACAUCAGUUUCUUUUGUUGUAAAAGAGUCAUUGGAAGGUGGCUUUCUUUUCGGAGAAAGUGUUUAUAGCCUUUGACUUCUGCAGUCGGAGAGAUUGAGGUCUGCAGCGUAGAUCCUUCGGGGUUAGAUACAUUUGUGCUAAGCUAUAGCCUUUCAUAGACAACAUGUUGACUACGAUUAAUCAUGUAGCUUACUCGCUUAUGCUAUUUUACCUACGCUUAGGAUGUUGAAGUCAUCGUAUCGCGC
rnacentral:rRNA from 1 species